UUCCUCCAUGACACCCCGAUCCGGGCGGCGCCAGCAGCGAUGGCGAUCGACAAUCGAGUGUGCCUAACUCUGCAUCUAUAACUGGCCUGUCUUCUUUGGACGGGUGCAGGUGCUCUACUACGCGCUACUCCGGACGGGUCACCUGGACAGAUGUUCUGGAACCAUCGUGGUCUGCGUCACUACUGGGGCGUGUGUAUCCGUGGUCAGCACACCAAGACUACCGGCAGGAGAGGGAAGACUGUUGGUGUCUCCAAGAAGCGAUAAACUGCUUCACAAAGAUCCCCGCAUAGCUUCACUACUACUGUGUUGGUCCAUUUCCAGAAUCUUAAGGAGUGUUCUUAUUUAGACGAUUACCUUGGAUGAUGCUU